rnacentral:rRNA from 1 species
AUUGAACGCUGGCGGCAGGCCUAACACAUGCAAGUCGAGCGGAUGAAGGGAGCUUGCUCCUGGAUUCAGCGGCUGACGGGUGAGUAAUGCCUAGGAAUCUGCCUGGUAGUGGGGGAUAACGUCCGGAAACGGGCGCUAAUACCGCAUACGUCCUGAGGGAGAAAGUGGGGGAUCUUCGGACCUCACGCUAUCAGAUUAGCCUAGGUCGGCUUAGCAAGUUGGGGGGUAAAGGCCUACCAAGGCGACGAUUCCUAACUUGUCUUAGAGGAUUAUCAAUCACACUCGAACUGCGACGCGGUCCACACUCCUACGGGAGGCAGCAGUGGGGAAUAUUGGACAAUGGGCGGAAGCCUGAUCCAGCCAUGCCGCGUGUGUGAAGCAGGUCUUCGGAUUGUAAAGCACUUUAAGUUGGGAGGAAGGGCAGUAAGUUCAUACCUUGCUGUUUUGACGUUACCAACAGAAUAAGCACCGGCUACCUUCGUG